UUCAUGAAAGUUCUUACACUUUAGACACUUCUGAGAGAGAGGACACUUUUCCAACUCUUUGAGUGAAAGUAUGACCAAUUUGCCCCUGAAUAAUAAGGAAGGAAGAAAACCAACGUUUGAGUUUAGUUUGUUGUCAGUUACAAAAGAACAAACACGUGGCAUAUGAUGAGUAGUUAAGAUCUGAUAAGAUGAAAUACACAUUUUUUUUUUCCAUUUUUUUUUCCUUCUUCGCAGGCCUCUUCUUUUUCUCUCUCUAAUUAUCUUUCUCUCUUCAUCUUUACUUUCUUUCUCUCUUUCCUUGCAAAAUCAAACAUGAAAGAGUUUGGAUUUUGUGAGUGUUGAGUGUGUGUGGUAAUAUAGUGUGUGUGAAGAUCUUGUUGAGUAUGUGUGGUGAGGGCAACAAUGGAGUUUGUGUACACAACAUCAACCAAUUAAGAAAAAGGAUCAAAGCAUUGUCCAAGAGAUGUAAUUACGAAAAUUCAAAAUCAAAAUCUGUUGCAAGAAGACGACGAGAGAGGCGGUGAUGACGUUGCACGUUUCUCUCGAAGCAGCUCCAUUAAUCGAAAACCAGUUGUGAUUGAUUCCAUUUUCGUCAUGAAUGAAGCUUUAUUGUUUAUUUUUUGGUCACUGUUACAGUUUUGAUGUGAAUUGCUCAAAUUUGUUUCUUUAGUUAUUUUUUGUUAACUUUGUUUUUUCUUUGUUCAUUAGCUAGAAUAACAUGGAAGUAAUCAAUUCUUUCGAUUAAUUCUAGCUUUUUGAACACGAGAUUCUAAUAAGCAAA